GGCUCAUGCUGGUCUGAGUCUCUGUUGCCCCUUGAGGCCUCUUGGGCCUGGAAAGCACCUCCUUCCUAGACCCAGAAUUCGGGUUCAGAGGCAGAAUCAUCCCUAGGAGGAGCUGGAAAGUCAGGUCCUGCACCAAGAGAACCCAGGGCUUGGACAUCCCAGCGAAGUCCUUUCAGGGUCUUUGCCAAAUCUCCAGCUUCGAAGACAGUGGCCCGGAGGAGCACAAUAGGGUCAGAAUCACAGUGAAAAGCGGUAGUUCUCUGGGUCCCUCUCUGCCCACAACUGUGGGAACAUCAGCCCCCCCACCACCCCCAGAGUCCUCUUACCUUGUUCUGGGAGCCCCCAGAGGUGUUCCAUGUAUGCUCUGAAAUCCAUUUUCUUGGCUGUCACUUUCAGGACGUUCUGCUGUUACCUGUGUUUCUUGGGGCCACACUAGCUGUUAGGCAAAAUAAGUUCCCAGUGACAGUAGUAACUCAGAUUUCAUGGCCUCUGCCUGCUGCUGCUCACCACAGGAGUCUUCUGCUGUUGUCUCACCUGGUCAUUCCCAGGAGCCCCCAGACUUUCCUCACAUGAACUCACAACUGUCCUCUCAAGUUUAAGUUCUUCCACUUGCAGCUACUUGAUACCUACUGGCCAUGAAGCCUGGAACAGGCUGGCUCUGCCACUGGGGAUAUGCUAGUCUUGCUUACUACUUGGGCCAAAGUGUGCCCUGGGCAUCAGCAGGUCCCAAUAAUGGCCACUCAUGCUUAUAAUUUAAGGUCUCAAGCAUUAACUAAUUUAGAGGAAAACUUGCUCACCAAAAGGUGAUAGUCUCCUUGUAAACUGGCAAUUGCUUAGAGCACAAGCCUCACAAGGUGCAAUGGUUUCCAUGACCCUUACCAACAAGAGAACUUCUGCAAGGCAGUAUCUGCUCCCAUACACCUUGUUUUGGUAGCCAGCCUGUGGGCUUCUCCAAGGCUUUCUUUUGCUCAGUGCCCAGCUUAUCACAGAUGCUGACUGCUCGGGAAGGUGAGGUUGGAGGGACCAGGUGGGCUGUGGUGUCUACCUCUGCCUCCCACUUACCCACUUCUCACUAUUCUAGGAGAGCUGGCCCUGGGGCAACAAGGCAGAAACCCAGGGAAGGUUCUGAUAGAUUGAAUAUGUGUGAGCGUAUAAUGGACAUGCUGAGCUUGGCACUGGGUUGGGAGGGUGGAGAGUGUGGGAGUGACAAUCGUGGUUACACUCCAGCACCUCUUCCACCUCCCAGGAACUUGCCCACCACUGAUGAAUCUAGCCCAUACCUGAAGCUCCACUAACCUCAAGUCGGAAUCAUUUUUCAGGUGGUUAUUUUGGAUAGUAAUAAUUCUGGUUACCUUUAUUGCUGCUUAUGUAUCAAGCACCUUGUGUUACUCUCUGUGGCAGAUACAAUAACUACAAACAGAUAACCAUGUGUUCCUCCCCAUCAUGCUGCCACUUUAGACUCAAGCAAGGCCAUAUGUCCAGCUCUGGACAGUGGACCACAAGUUGAAUGAGAUGUGUCACAUCUGGGCGGAAGCAUUUAAGAACCAGUGCACUGUCUCUAGCUUUCUCUUGCUCUGCAGUGGCCACCUAGAAGCCACAUAUUUCGGAGAGUGGAACCGCAAGACGCAAACUGACUUGCCCUAACUCUCCACUUUGGAAGGGAACUACCUGGGAGAGGCCCCAAGAUCCACACCUAACUUUGCAUGGGAGACUAUGUCCUGCAGACCUGAUGCUCAUGUUCCUGGACCGGGGCUUCCUCUUUGGAACAAAGGAAGAUGGCACUGCCCUUCAGGUGGCUCUUCUCUAUGUGGCUAUGACUGGCCAGCCCCUCAUCCACAGAUUGACACCAUGAGAGGGAGACAGCCUAGUGCAGAAGUGACACGCACUGAGCCAGGCUGUCUGGAAUCAAAUCCGGGUUGCCAGCCCUGUGACUUGGGCAAGUUACUUCCCCUCUCCAUGCCUCCAUGUCCUUACCUGGAAAAUAAGGAUAUUUUUACCUACCUCAGUAGAACUGUUGUGAGAAUUAAAUGAGUUAGUCCAUAGAAAAUGCUAAGAUCAG
rnacentral:lncRNA from 1 species